rnacentral:rRNA from 1 species
CAGUCGCCGCGGUAAUACGAAGGGGGCUAGCGUUGCUCGGAAUGACUGGGCGUAAAGGGCGCGUAGGCGGCAAUCAAAGUCAGGCGUGAAAUUCCUGGGCUCAACCUGGGGGCUGCGCUUGAUACUUGGUUGCUUGAGUGGGGAAGAGGGUCGUGGAAUUCCCAGUGUAGAGGUGAAAUUCGUAGAUAUUGGGAAGAACACCGGUGGCGAAGGCGGCAACCUGGUCCUUGACUGACGCUGAGGCGCGAAAGCGUGGGGAGCAAACAGGAUUAGAUACCCGUGUAGUCCCUGUCUCUUAUAC